rnacentral:lncRNA from 1 species
CUUUUGCGUUUACAAGCAUUGUUUCUUGAUGCAAGAUAUUUUCACAAGAUUAGCACUUAUUGCCCUCUCUUAAAAAGAUAUAAAGCACACAAUUAACAAACCCAUAUCCCCACCCAAGACAAUCUAUGUGCGAUAAUGAAAGCAGUCCAUGAAGUGAAACUUGUUGGAAUUCUAGGUUGAUACUUGACAAAGUUAUUUAUUCAAUUUUCUUCCAACAUUAGUUUCAUAGUAAAUUAGCUCAAAAGAUAAAACAGGGAACUGGAGGUCCAACGUGUAUACAUACAUACAUCGUAUAAACAUACCACAUACAAACACAUACACACAUAUCUGUUUAUUAUAUGUACGCACACACAUACAUAAUACAUAUACGUUUAUUAUGUGUGCACACACAUACACACACAUAUACCCAACACAUACAAACACACACAUACACACAUAUCUGUUUAUUAUAUGUACGCACACACACACACAUAAUACAUAUACGUUUAUUAUGUGUGCACACACAUACACACACAUAUACCCAAUCAGUUGUUACGAUCCAUGGUAAUACAAUGUCCUCAGCAAAAUGAGAUUAUCAGGUCCUAACCCAACUACAACACUCAGUGUAAGACCAUCUGCUCCAAACUAGGCAGGCAGGAUUAUGUAGCAUCUAA